rnacentral:rRNA from 1 species
GACGAACGCUGGCGGCGUGCCUAAUACAUGCAAGUAGAACGCUGAAGAGAGGAGCUUGCUCUUCUUGGAUGAGUUGCGAACGGGUGAGUAACGCGUAGGUAACCUGCCUGGUAGCGGGGGAUAACUAUUGGAAACGAUAGCUAAUACCGCAUAACAACAGUUGUUGCAUGACAGCUGUUUAAAAGAUGCAAUUUCAUCACUACCAGAUGGACCUGCGUUGUCUUUGCUAGUUGGUGAGGUAACGGCUCACCAAGGCGACGAUACAUAGCCGACCUGAGAGGGUGAUCGGCCAAACUGGGAAUGAGACACGGCACAGAAUCCUACGGGAGGCAGCAGUAGGGAAUCGUCGGCAAUGGGGGGAAACCAGACCGAGCAACGCCGAGUGAGUGAAGAAGGUUGUCGGAUCGUAAAGCUCUGUUGUAAGAGAAGAACGGGUGUGAGAGUGGAAAGUUCACACUGUGACGGUAUCUAACCAGAAAGGGACGGCUAACUACGUG